AUGGGCACAGAAUUUUAUGAGACCAUGUUCAUCAAAGGAGCCCGAACUGAGACUGAGGAUGAUCUGAACCAAUUGUUCGAAGGAUCAAUCGACAGAGGUAGAGGUGGUUCAGAAAUUGAAGGACAGAGUUUGUGCACUUUUUGGCAUCCACCAUCGCCCGAUUCAAGCCCAAUGCUAGUGGAGAAGAUGGUGGCGCCGGUUGUCACCCGCGCCUCCCUCCCAUGCUUCCACUACCAGCCAAGCACCUCCUCGGAGAUGCCAUCUCAUGGAGUGCCGCGUCGUCCACACACUGCUCCAGUCCAGCUCGGACGAGGAGGACGAUGUUGGUCCGGCAUAAAUGCAGGAUAG
rnacentral:rRNA from 1 species